UGCAGUCUGUCAUGGUGAGGAAGUCAUGUGCAGCAGAUGUGUAAGGCAUAUGGUCCCAUGCGUACAGUCAGUGAGAAGAAAAAGGACACUGACUUGGGCUGAGCUAUAAAUCAUCAAGGCUUACCACAGUGCCUCACUUGUCUUCACUAAGGCUCCAUGUUUGCAAGCAUCUACAACUUCCCCAAACCAGUGUUUCCAGCUAAGGAUGGGAAUUCUUCAGACACUUGAGCCUAUGGGGCUAUGUUUCCCAUUCAAACUACACCUUUCUAGACAGAAGAAAGCCUUUGUUCAAGGAUGAGGUCUCCUAAGCCAUGGGGCUAUGCCUGAGUACCAGUGGUGUGCCUGAGUUGUGGGCAGCAUCUUGAUCAGCUCUGGGCUAAAGAACUCAGGGCACCCAGUUGCCUGUGUUUCAUUAUAGAACCUGAUGCACUGGGUUUUGUGACCUCUGCCUUUGGCAUUCCCAUGUCCCUGUGUUUGGCAUAGAAUGAUGCAGGGCAGGCAAGGGAGAAACUCAGUGAUACUCUGAGGUCAUGCUUUCAUCCCAGUCUCUUGUUAUGAUCUUAAUCUUCCUUUCCUUCUGGUUUCUAAGAUGCUCCCUUGAGAGCUGUCUCAGAGUAGGCAGUGUUAUUUAUUAUAUUGAUCACCCAUAACAUCCCCCCAAGGCUCAAUGUAGAGGGAAGUGACUGGUCCUAAUGGCACAAUUAGCUUUAUUAUCUUCUGGCUUCUGAUGUAAUGUUUCUGUCGCAGCCUUUGCAGCAAAGGGGAUGAGCCAGGAUGGGAAAUCUGGCGUCAAGAUUGUAAGUCUUGCCGAGUUACUAGUGCUUCAAGUGACCUUGGAUAAUGUUCUCUUUCCUUUUGAUGGCAAUAUUUUAAUUACAAAAAUAUAAAAAGCAUUGAUUGGGUCUGAGACAGUAUACUAAAUCCUCUGUUGAGUUAUCUUGUUGAAACCUCCCAGCAAACCUACAAAGCAUCUAUUGUUUUUUGAUUAUUUAUUUCACUUUAUGUGUAUGAGUGUUUUGUUAACAGUGUGUGUGUGUGUGUGUGUGUGUGUGUGUGUGUAUGUGUGUGUGUGUGUGUGUGUGUGUGUGUGCAUGCACACACACACAUGCACAUGUACUUGUGUGUCUGGUACCUGCAGAGGUCAAAAUGAGGUAUCAGAGUCUCUGGAACUGAAGCUACAGGUUGGUGUCAGUUACUAUAUAUAGGGCCUGGGAACAGAACUUGAACUCCCAAAAGAGAAACAAGUGCUUUUGAUUGCUGAACCAUCUCCCAAGUCCUUCAAAUAAGGACUAUUCUUAAGGCAUCUUCUAUAAGUAACACUCAGAGAGGGUGAGUAACAUGGCUGAUGUCUUGUAGAUAGGGGUGUUAGGCUGGGUUUAAACUUUGGGUACAUGAAUUUAAAGCCAGCAAUAGGAAGCUUUCCACUACCCUGUCUCUUCAACUACUUAAAGGACAGUGAUUCUCAACCUUCUCAAUGCUGUGACUCUUUAAUAUAGUUCCUUAUGUUGUGGUGACCUCCAGCCAUAUUGUAAUUUUGCUACAUUACAUCAUAAUAUAAAUAUCUGUGUUUUUCGGUGAUCUUUAGGUGACCCUUGUGAAAGGCCAUUAAGCACCCUCCCCCAAGAGAGCACAACUCACAGGUUGACUCUGAAGUGCCACUGGAAGUCAGGAACAUGCGUCAAUCCCAGUGCCAUCCCAGCAGCCCCUGUGCUUGCAUCAGGAUAUGAAGAGUCACAUGGACCUGCUUGCUGAAAGCCUGGCUAGAGAUGGAAGUGGAGUCUGUUUGUAGUCAGGACCACAUCAGGUGCUUUAAAAAGGAUUUAUUUGUUUUUAUUUUAUUCAUGUGUAUGGGUAUUUUAGCCACGUGUAUGUCAAUGCACCAUGUAUGUGUCUGAUGCCUGGAAAUCCCAGAAAAGUCUUCAGAUUCCCACAGAACUUGAGUUACAGAUGAUUGUGAGUGGCGGUGUGGGUGCUGAGGGGUGGGGAACUAAGCACUGGUGCUUUGAAAGAGCAGCCGGUGCUCAUGACUUCUGAGCCAUCUCUCUUGUAUCUCAUGUGAGUCUUGGAAGCACAGUGGUGAUAUUAUGAGAUGGAUAUUUGUGGAAGAUGACUCUAGAGCAGUGGGGAAGGAGGCCGGAGUAGACCUGGAGAAGGUAGGGAAGAAGGAGCAGGGAGGUGUGGUUGAGAUUCCUCUUGGAUGAAGGACCACAACAUGAGGCGUCCUUCAGCACAGACUGCUUGCCACUUACGUUCUCAGCCCCAUGAGGACACAGUGGUUGACAGUUUCACUCUAUUUGGGGUUGGAAUCCUGCUCUUUUUAUUUCUGGUUGUCCCCCUCCCUCUUUUCCACUUAAUUUGAUGGCUUAAACAUUAGAAGCCCAAUCCAGGUACAUCAAGCUUUGGUCCAGCUCAGGGUUGUGGGGAUCUAAGGCGCUGUGCUUACCCUCAUCUUUCUCUCUCUUCCAGUCAAGAGGCACCACAUACAAUCCACAGAAGGCCAACUUCUCAACCAGAAGAGUCAGAAGUGCCUCUGGUGAUUGGUAGUGCCAAUCUGACACUACUACUCUGACAGUGCCAGAUCUGGAGCUCAGGGCUCUCGGGGGAGCAGGCAGGCACUUUAUCCCAGGUCCCUGGUGGCUGGGGGUAGGGGGCGGGUGACACGUGACACCGAUGGCUGCCAGGUGCACUCUAAUGAUUGUUUUCACUG
rnacentral:lncRNA from 1 species